AGCAGCCGCGGUAAUUCCAGCUCCAAUAGCGUAUAUUAAAGUUGUUGCAGUUAAAAAGCUCGUAGUUGAAUUUCGGGGUUAGUAGGUUGGUCAUGCCUCUGGUAUGUACUGGUCUCACUGAUUCCUCCUUCCUGAUGAGCCGUAAUGCCAUUAAUUUGGUGUUGCGGGGAAUUUGGACUGUUACUUUGAAAAAUUGAGUGUUUAAAGCAAGCUAACGCUUGAAUACAUUAGCAUGGAAUAAUGAAAUAGGACGUUCGAUCCUAUUUUGUUGGUUUCUAGGAUUGACGUAAUGAUUAAUAGGGAUAGUUGGGGGCAUUAGUAUUCAAUUGUCAGAGGUGAAAUUCUUGGAUUUAUUGAAGACUAACUACUGCGAAAGCAUUUGCCAAGGAUGUUUUCAUUAAUCAAGAACGAAAGUUAGGGGAUCGAAGACGAUCAGAUACCGUCGUAGUCUUAACCAUAAACUAUGCCGACUA
rnacentral:rRNA from 1 species